rnacentral:rRNA from 1 species
AGUGAACGCUGGCGGUAGGCCUAACACAUGCAAGUCGAACGGCAGCACAGUAAGAGCUUGCUCUUACGGGUGGCGAGUGGCGGACGGGUGAGGAAUACAUCGGAAUCUACUUUUUCGUGGGGGAUAACGUAGGGACACUUACGCUAAUACCGCAUACGACCUACGGGUGAAAGCAGGGGAUCUUCGGACCUUGCGCGAUUGAAUGAGCCGAUGUCGGAUUAGCUAGUUGGCGGGGUAAAGGCCCACCAAGGCGACGAUCCGUAGCUGGUCUGAGAGGAUGAUCAGCCACACUGGAACUGAGACACGGUCCAGACUCCUACGGGAGGCAGCAGUGGGGAAUAUUGGACAAAGGGCGCAAGCCUGAUCCAGCCAUACCGCGUGGGUGAAGAAGGCCUUCGGGUUGUAAAGCCCUUUUGUUGGGAAAGAAAAGCAGCAGGUUAAUACCCCGCUGUUCUGACGGUACCCAAAGAAUAAGCACCGGCUAACUUCGUG